CCUUAUUGUGAAAUUGCUUAAAUCUGUCCUUUCCCUGUCUAAGAACUAUUUUACUACACUUAUUUGUUAAAAAAAAUCCAUGAGCUUGUAUUCUGGGCUUUGAAGCAAACAAAAUACUCUUUUGAAAUAUAACAGUUUGCCUUUAGCUCAGCAAAGCAAACUAUAUGCUAUAUACAAUCUUUGGCCUCAAAGGGCUUUUUUGGGAAACUUGCAGAGAAGUCCUACAGAGCACUUCAUAGCAUGGGAAACAUUGCCACAAAAAAGUUAAUGUUGCUGAAAUGCUUAUUCAUAAGCUUUGCUUAUCCUAAUUUAGGUUGCUGAUAAAGUAUGCUGGUAAAGCAAACUAAAAAUAAUGUUUAAAGUGCCUUAAAAUUGCUUACUUGUUUGCCUCAAAUUUUGUUUAAAAGGGUAGAAGGGAUAUCUUGCCUUAGUUACUAAAUUUGUUGUGGUGCCAGCAACUGCUAUUUUCCAGGACUUUAGGAAACCAGAUCCUUUUCAGAGUGAGAUCGGUAUUUACACUCCCCAUUUCCUCUGCUUUACAUCACAACCCGUAAAUGAUACCAGCAGAGUGAGAGCAAGAAGAGUGAGCAGGGUCUCCUCCCAGGGCAGAAGUGCAUACGCUGUCCAGAUGUGUGUCAUCUUCACUGAUUCUGGUGGUCUAGGACAUAAAUGAUACCAGCAGAGCGAGAGCAAGAAGGGUGAGCAGGGUCUCCUCCCAGGGCAGAAGUGCACAUGCUGUCCAGAUGUAUGUCAUCUUCACUGAUUCUGGUGGUCUAGGACUGUGAGCUGCCUGUCACAGAUGCUGCUCUUCUCCACCUCACUGCAGGACACUAAGGGUGACUUCUCUGUAGCCGUGUUUGCAAAGGAGUCCAAACAUUUUGUCACUCUCCUGUGGUGUGGUAUGUGACUUCUUCAGAGAGAAAAGAACAUCCCGCUGCAUCUAGAUCAGCCCAGAAACAGAUGAAAGAUUUGCAGUGCCAUUUCCCAAGAAACAGAUAAUCCCAAAUAGAACUGAUUUUCUACAUUAUGUGAAAAAAAAACCCCAAAAAACAAACCCUACCCCCACCCCACCCCAAACAUGCUUUGUCGUGCUCACAGAGUGACUAGUACUUUUGAAACAUGGCUAAGAGCCUUGACCUAGUUUCAUAUGCCAAAUAUGGGGACAAAGAAAAAGUCUGGGGGAAGUAAAGAACAGGAUGGCAGCACUGCACUAAACCCACAGUCCUACAUUGUCCUCUUUCACUCUGCUUCCAACAUCUACUUUUAAGACAGCAGUUGCUGAGGGAGUCCUUUACUGUCUUCUGUAAGGUAACAUUUCUGCUGCACCCAGUGCUUCUGCCUUUUACUCAAAGACACUGCUAGGGCCUAGGUAAGUCAGUAAGGGUGGAUGCAGACUACUAUAUGCAGCCUUUCCUUCAUCCUGCUGCAGCUCAACUCCAUGUAACUUUAAGACAGCAAAAAAAUCAGGAAAGGAAGAAAAUGCACUUGACAAAAUGCAGAUUUUGACAACAUCAGCACCUCCCCUGAGUUCCUGGGGAGAGAAAGAGGGACUUCCAGGGCACAAAACAUCUCAUCCAAACCCAAGAGUCUGAAACAAGUCAUGCCUUUGAAGCACCUCUUGAUGAUCAGGGGAAUCUUCGCAGACACAGGUGACUACAGUGAGAUGGGCUAUUCUCAAACCAUUACCAUUAAUGAAUUAUAGUUUUAUGGAAAUGCAUAUAUAUGUAUAUUUUUAAAAAGAUGUACAUUAUAACCAGAGUGAGUAGGCAGUAGUUCCUUCCUUCCUUCCUUCCUUCCUGGGGGGGGGGGGGGGGGGGGGGGGGGGGGGGGGGGGGGGGGGGGGGGGGGGGGGGGGGGGGGGGGGGGGGGGGGGGGGGGGGGGGGGGGGGGGGGGGGG
rnacentral:lncRNA from 1 species